AGUAGCAGUAGCAGCAGCAGUAGUAGUAGUAGCUAUAGUAGUAGCAGCAGUAGUAGUAGUAGCAGUAGCAGCAAUAGUAGUAGUAGCUGCAGUAGUAGUGGCAGUAGUAUUAGCAUGUAGUAGUAGCCGACAAGGUAAAAAUGAUGUCGAUGUGCCCUUGAGCAAGGCACUUAACGCUCAUUUGCUCUAGGGGUGCUGUAGUACUAAGUCUGACCCUGUAAAACAACAUGUUUCACUGCGACCUAUCUAGUGUAUUUGACGAUGUAUGUCACGCCCUGACCUUAGAGAGCCUUUUAAUCCUCUAUUUUUGGUUAGGUUUCAGGGUGUGAUUAAGGUGGGCAUUCUAGGUUUUCUGUUUCUAUGUUUUCUAUUUCUUUGUUGUUGUUUUUGCCAUGUGUGGUUCCCAAUCAGAGGCAGCUGUCUAUCGUUGUCUCUGAUUUGGGGAUCAUAUUUAAGUUGUGAUUUUCCGUUUGGGUUUUGUGUGGG
ensembl:lncRNA